rnacentral:rRNA from 1 species
GACAGAGGGUGCAAACGUUGUUCGGAAUUACUGGGCGUAAAGCGUGUGUAGGCGGCCAUGCAAGUCGGAUGUGAAAGCCCCGGGCUCAACCCGGGAAGUGCACCCGAAACUGCAUAGCUUGAGUAUCGGAGAGGUUGGUGGAAUUCUCGGUGUAGAGGUGAAAUUCGUAGAUAUCGAGAGGAACACCGGUGGCGAAGGCGGCCAACUGGACGAAUACUGACGCUGAGACACGAAAGCCAGGGGAGCGAACGGG